rnacentral:rRNA from 1 species
CCUACGGGAGGCAGCAGUGAGGAAUAUUGGUCAAUGGGCGCGAGCCUGAACCAGCCAAGUCGCGUGAGGGAAGACGGUCCUAUGGAUUGUAAACCUCUUUUGUCGGGGAGCAAAAGACGCCACGUGUGGCGUUCCGAGAGUACCCGAAGAAAAAGCAUCGGCUAACUCCGUGCCAGCAGCCGCGGUAAUACGGAGGAUGCGAGCGUUGUCCGGAUUUAUUGGGCGUAAAGCGAGUGCAGGCGGUUCAAUAAGUCUGAU